CAGCACCGCCCCGCGUCCUGCCCCAUAAAAAGCGGGCGGCCGGCGCUGGUCUGCACCUCUGCCAGUCCCGCCGGACCGAGCCGAACAGAGCCGAGCUAGACUGAGCUAAACCGAGCCGAGCCGAGCCAUGGACCCCCAGGACUGCACGUGUGCCGCCGGUGACUCCUGCUCCUGCGCAGGGUCCUGCAAGUGCAAGAACUGCCGCUGCCAGAGCUGCCGCAAGAGUUGCUGCUCCUGCUGCCCCGCGAGCUGCAGCAACUGCGCCAAGGGCUGCGUGUGCAAGGAGCCGACGAGCAGCAAGUGCAGCUGCUGCCACUGAGCCGCUCGCCUCUGCCUGUAAAUAGUCGGCACGCUUCGGGGACGGGGGUGGGGGGCACAGAAAAGCCUAUUUUUUUGUUUUUGUUGUUCUUCUUUUGUAUCUUCUGUACCAGUGGUGAAACUGGAUGGAAAUAAAGGAGUUUUUCUGGAGGUACAA